rnacentral:lncRNA from 1 species
UAGAUCAGCGGUCUCAAAGAUCUGUGGACUUCUAGAAGCUUCUGACAUAUUUUCAAGAGUGACAGAAUUUCUCUGAUUUAGGUCAUAGUCCUACUUUUUUUGAAUACUGUGCGCCUUGAAGGAGGGGAAGACCAAAAUUGGU